GGGACUGUUUAGUUUCGACAGGUUGAACUUUAAAAAUCAAGCAAGCCGACCAAGCGUUUAAAGUCGUUAAACCUAAACGCAAGAUAUAUAAGUGCAAACUUAGUAUCAAAAGUAAAAGCGACAUUUGCUAACGCAUUUGCUCCGUCUUUUGCUACCGCUGUUGCCUAAUAUCGCGACAGCCAUCAAAUCGCCCACUUCCGGUAAGCGAAUUUGGUGUCAAUCACCGGAAUAGCCGAUGGUGGUGUUUCCGAACAAUCGGCGAAGCUAAAUGGAAACUCGGGCAAUGAUUUUUUGUUUGUUUUACAGUCAUUGUCUUAAAUAUCCGUUGCAAAACGAGAAAACAAACUAAGCUUGUAGAAAGAUUUUUAAAGCCAAUUCUGGACGUGGGUUCAAUUCCCACCAGUUCCACAU
rnacentral:tmRNA from 1 species